GAAAAGAGUCUUCUCCAACUAAAUUAUGAAGAAGUUUUGGCAGAUCGAGGUGGAAACAGUUGGUGACCUUCCCUCACAGACCUGGCUGUUUGAAGACUUGAAGUCUGCCACGGGUUAGAUCUUGUAUGUUCCCCAAAGUCCUGAGUGCCCAAGGCUUAGUCCCCAAGCUGGUAGACCAGGAGGUGGUAGAGAUAUUUGAUGUUAAUGAUGGGUGGACAGUCUUUGGAUCACUGAAGGUAUGGUCGACCUUGAGGGGAAUAGCACACCCUGACUCCCUCUUCAUGUUGUCUCUUCUUCCUGGCCAAGAGAUGAGAGGGGGUUUCUCCAGUGUGUGCACCUGCCUUGAUCAACCACUUCUACACAGCCCCAAAGCAUGGGUUAACCUCUGAACUCUUUAGAAGGUUGAACCUCUAAACAGAGAACCUUUUCUCUUUAUAAGGUGAUGGUCUCGGUCAUUUCUUAUAGUAACUAAAACCUGACUUACACACAGAGCUACACGUUGAGCAUCAUCCUGGACAUUUAACACGAGGGGGCAAAGGUCAUGGACGAACCAGAACAUCCAUGUGCAAUAUUUGGUUCAUACGUUUUGACCUUUCAAAAAUAGUCAAACGAGCUCAUUUGCUGCUGUGUUUAACAAACUCAACCAAUGUCCUCAUGUCCUCAGCCUGAGGAAAGGGACAUUCAAGAGUGCCCCAGCUUGCCCUCAGAGUGUACCAUGUCUGUCUUGUCCACGCCGGGCCUAUUGUUUCACCAGGUCCUUGCCCGAGUGUCAUGGAGUCAGUCUUCUUCAAGGAGAGUGACUGCUGGAAGCCGUGUCUGUUAAUUUAAACUGAGGAGCAAUUUGAAUAUUCUGGGAUGGCUGGGAGACACACAAAACAUCUCUGGUGAGUUCUAAAGUCGGGCAGUACUGAAUGGAUCAUCUCUCAGGCCAUUGUUUGGUUAAUCUGUGAGGAAGCUAGAAUUAGUCUUCCUCAGGAGAAAAUAAUAUGAAUUUGUACGCAGAUUUGAGUAUGUUCGCCUUCACGGUGUGCACUGGGGUCACCUUGAGACACAGGAGUCAACAUCUACGACAGGCUUGAAAAGAAGGACGCACAUGGCCUGGACAGCAACUUCGUCUUGACCUCAUAAAGAAGCUGUGCCCUGGGAUCAGAGCAACUGUGUUAAAAUGCUGAAGACCAUGCUUUGGCUCACAGAAUAAAGAGCUUAACCAUAAACUGCACUCUUACAUGGACCACAUGAUCUUGCUGUAAGAAAAAAAAAAAAAAAACCAACUAGCUCCAGGAUGGGCUUGAUCCCUGGAGAAAAGUUCAGAGCUGCUUAAGAAAGUACUUUCCUGUCUCAAGGAGCCAGACAUUGAGCGUCGUCUUGGACAUCAAACACAAGAGUGCAAAGGUCGUGGAGAAGCCAAAACGUCCAUCUGCAAUAUUUGGUUCAAAGGCUUUGCCCUCUCAAAAACAGUCAGCUACCACCAUAGAAAUUGUAAGAAAUGAGUCCUGAUGGAAAGUCUACACAGAGAGCGCACAUGAAUGAACUAAGGUCACUGUCGCCGUGAGCAGGUUGACACAAAGUAAUACAGUCUCUUUGCUCUCUGCUCUGACCUCCUAUGAUGAAUGGCUGUGAAAUCAGUCCCCAAAAAGAAGCUUGCCCUUACACAGGCUGGUCUCCAGAGAUGUGCACCAAGUAAACUUUUAUUCGUCCUAAGUUUCCAAGUCUGCAGAGCUCUGUUACUGGCAACUGGAAAUGGACUAAGACAUACAUGACUAACACAACACCCAUACUUAUGUUAGGAUAUGGUCUUACACCUGUUUCUGUCAUCCACCUGCAGCCAGCCUGAGUUGAAGUGUAACUCAGGAGUCAUGGAGAAGCAAGAAUAGCCUGAACCCCAGUUACAUAAAUAUUUGGUCAACAGAAUUCAUUGGAAUAGUUUAAGCACAGAACCCAUGAAGUACCUUAUGUUAAACUUAUUUUAGAAUGUAUAAUGAUUAUGUCAUUAUCAAUCCUUUAGCCCAUAAUGUGAGACAGAUGCUAACUCAUUUCUCCCAUCUAGCUGUGAUUUUUUUACCAGCCUUUCUCAGUCCCUUCACCCCAGUCAUGCCGUUCUCUGGGAAUGACUAUUAUACAAUCUGUCUCUGUAUCUGAGUGAGAACAUGGGGUAUCUUAUGCAGGUUUCUAAUGCUGUGGUAAAACAUCAUGUCCAAAAGAAACUUGAGAGGAAAGGGUUUAUUUUAACUUACAACUCUUGGGUCAUACUCUACCACUGAGAGAAGUCAGGUCAGGAACCCAAGGCAAGGACCUGGAGGCAGGAACUGAAGGCCAGGAGGGUUGCUGCUUAGUGGCUUGGUCCUCGUGGAUGGUUCAGCCUGCUUUAUUUUACAUCCCAGGGCCACCUAUCCAAGGCUGGCAUCAACCCAGUGAGCCGAAAACUCCACAGACUUGCCUACAAGUCAAUUUCAUGGAGUCUUCUUCUCAAUUAAGAUGUCCUCUACUAGGGUGGCUCCUGGUUUGUGACAAGUUAACAGGGACCAACCGACCUAGGUGGUGAGACUCUGUCUCAUUUUACUCAUGAUAAUUCCUCUCCCCAGGACUUUUUACAUCCUUACAAACGGCAAGGUUUCAUCAUAUUGGGGGAUAGAAUAUUGGUGCAUACAUACAGAGUGCUCUUUAUAUAUCAUACUCUAAUGGAAUCAUGGGUUGUGUCUAUAUUCUGCCUGUUUAUAAAACAGUACUGCAGCAAAAAAAAAUAAUCUGACAUAUGUCAGAGUGUGGGAUUGCUGGUAUUUUGAGGUGCCACCACACUGUAUAGAUACUCAAAAUGAGUAGAUAAGAUUUCCCCCUUUUCUACAUUCAGUUUUAUUUUGAAAUCUGAGGUUAUUAGUCUAUUCAUAGAAGUGUGUGUGUGUGUGCACGCACUUGUGCACAGUGUGUGUGCUUGUGCACAGUGUGUGUGCUUGUGCACACAUGUUCAUAUGGUGUCUCUGAGACCCCUCAUUGCCCCACAGAACCCUUUCUGGGAAGCUUGAUCCUCCAGAGCUAUUACUUUUGUUUUGAUUUAAACCCCUCCUUUGAAUAUAUUCAUGGAUUCCCCUGGCUCACCUUCCCUGUCAAAUUGAAAUUGUUUGCCAGAAACAAAUGCUUCCAGCUGCACCUUCUCCUCUCCGCCAGACAUUCUCCAUGCAGAUCUGCCUGCCGUGCCUGCCACCCCCGGAUGAUCUCUAUUGUGAGGAGUAUAUAGAAUCACGGAAGCUAUAUUUAUUUUCUAUUUUAGGCAGCAGCAGAAAGAAGUGGGAGAGAGGAGGGUCCUAGUCACUUUCUGUUUCCCUGAUUGCACUGCUGAUCUGAUGGUGCAGAGACCCCUCUGGAGUGACGUGCGUGAGUUCAGUGUGGAUAUACACCCUUCUGACUUGGCAUAACCGGCCUUAGUGGCUCUGAAGGAAGCCCUGAGCUGCGGAUUCCUCUCGUCUCUGCAUCUUUGUUUCUGACGUAUCAGGGAAAGUAUGGGAGAGGGUUUUAGAAAAAUGUAUCUCAACAGUAUGUCCAAACUCUAAAAUAAGCACUAAGUAGAAGACGUGGAAGGAAAUUCUCCUCUCUUCUGAUUAUGAGUUCCUUUAGGAAAUAAAGGUCAUGAUUGAAGUUACGUAUGCAGCCCCAUUUUGAUAUGGCGAGUCACUUGGGUUCUUGUUCCUA
rnacentral:lncRNA from 1 species